rnacentral:rRNA from 1 species
AACGAACGCUGGCGGCGUGGAUAAGACAUGCAAGUGGGACGCUAAUCAAAGGGUAGCAAUAUUCGUUGGUUGGAGUCGCGUAAGGGUGCGUAACACGUGGGUAAUUUGCCGUGAAGCUUGGAAUAACUUGCCGAAAGGUAAGCUAAUACCGAAUGUGACUUGUGCUGGGCAUCCAGUAUCAGUCAAAGCCGGGGAUCGUAAGACCUGGCACUUCAUGAUAAGCCCGCGGCCUAUCAGCUAGUUGGUGAGGUAACGGCUCACCAAGGCUAAGACGGGUAGCUGGUCUUAGAGGACGACCAGUCACACUGGAACUGAGACACGGUCCAGACACCUACGGGUGGCAGCAGUCGAGAAUUUCUCACAAUGGGCGAAAGCCUGAUGGAGCGACGCCGCGUGGGGGAUGAAUGGCUUCGGCCCGUAAACCCCUGUCAUUCGGGAUCAAAUCUGGUAACCUAACACGUUAUCAGUUGAUAGUACUGAAAGAGGAAGGGACGGCUAACUCUGUGCCAGCAGCCGCGGUAAUACAGAGGUCCCAAGCGUUGUUCGGAUCUACUGGGCGUAAAGGGAGCGUAGGUGGCAUUCUAAGUCUGAUGUGAAAGCUCUGAGCUUAACUCAGAAAUGGCAUUAGAAACUAGUUUGCUUGAGGAUUGGAGGGGAGAUUGGAAUUCUUGGUGUAGCAGUGAAAUGCGUAGAUAUCAAGAGGAACACCAGUGGCGAAGGCGAAUCUCUGGACAAUUCCUGACACUGAUGCUCGAAAGCUAGGGGAGCAAACGGGAUUAGAUACCCCGGUAGUCCUAGCUGUAAACGG